GUGCUCCCUUGGGAGCCCCUAUUAUACAAUUGGUCCGAUAUAGAGAAGAUUAGCAUGGCCCCUGCGCAAGGAUGACAUGCCAUUUAUAAAUUUAUUUUAUAUACAG
ensembl:snRNA U6 U6 spliceosomal RNA